GUACAUGAUGUUGUGGUGGU
rnacentral:piRNA from 1 species